AUUAGGAAAAAUCUAAAGCCAGUUGUAGCACAAUCUUGUUAAGUUAAAAUGAGGUGUAUCUGUGUUGAGAGUUUCUCAGUAAUACAAUGAGAGCAUCAUUUGCAGAUUUAAAAAAAAAAUGCAGGUCCUGAUGAGAUUUCUUCUAAUAAUGCCCUUCUCAGAACUCAGGAAUUAACCAGUUUUUAAAAAUUUACUUACACAUCUUUAAAUUUAUUCAAUAAACAAAUAAUAGAAGUACUUGGUUCCAGGAUCCAGGCUCAGAAAACUUUAAGGAAGAAAAAGGCCAAUGUGUUUUUCUGCCCUCAAAAACCUGAUUUUCCUUUCACCUGCUGUUAGCUCUAAUUUGAUCAGUGCUCACAGAUGUCAACAACUUUCCAGUUUUCAGUGGGUUAAGGUCAGGUGGAAGGGUGGGGAAAAGUCGCAUUUAGGAAGAGAAGAAGGUGAGGCGAUUGACACUUCACUUUAACCCGUGGGGAACACUUUAACAUUUUGUGUUUUGAUGCCAGGGAUAUUGUUGAUAUAUUCCUUCAAUUACGGUGAGGGCAGCGGGAAUACAGGACACAGAAAGAUGGAGAACAAAGUCAGUGAGCUCUGCUAUAGGACCUUCCUGGAUAAUCAAGCAAUUCUGAAACAUCUGAGAUUCCUCAGCACUACUUCAUAGAUUAGCUAAGAAAUAACUACCUAAUAGUGACCUUUAAUCCAACUCAUAAGGAAAAUUACAUGCAGAAAUAAUUACCAUAGAAUGAAAAUUACUAUAGAUAAAACUGUUCAAAUUACAAAAUUGGAGUUACUGAUGCAUAGCGAUAUAGAAUCAGUCAUCACCAAAGUUAUAUCUGUUCAACUUAACUUUGGAAAAUUUGACUUGAUGGAAAAUUUAACUCGAUAGAUCUAAAAGCCACAACAGAAAACUAAUGAUAGUAAAACUGACUAGCAAAAUGCCUUAGUAAGCCUGAGCAACAAAUAACAUCUUAGGAAAUAAAUGUGGAAAAAAUGUUCAUGAAAAUACAUUAAGUAAGCAAUAUAAACAUGAAAAUACAAUUAAAAAUAGGAUACUUGUGCUGCAUAAAAAAGUGGUCAAGAAAUUUAAUUGGUUUUAUGGAGCUUAUUCCAGAAAACAUUUUCUCAAAAAAAAAAAAAAAAAAGCAUCAAUGUUAGUAUAACUCUGUUAUAAACACUUUAAUUCAUAAUUAUGGAAGUAAAAACAUUUUUGGUGUGUUAGAGCCAACAAGAUGGUCUCAACAAUUCCCACCUCCUGGUAUUUACACCCUUGUAUAUUCCCCUCUUACACUGUGCCAGGAUUAGUCUGUGUAACCAAUAGACUACGGAUUUUUUUUUUUUAAUCAAUUCUGGAGUGAAGUGAUAAAAUACAUCAUAGCUUCCAUUUUGGUCAAAUACCUUGUAUUGCUUGGAUUAGUCUCCUAUCAGGAAGUCAACUGCUAUGUCACGAUGAUGCCUAAGAAACCAUGUGGAAAGGCUCAUGUGGUGAGCAGCUGAGGCCUCCUGCCAACAGCCAUGUGAAUGAAUAAGUGGUCUUAGAAAUGGAUCCUCCACUUCCAGGCAGACUUUCAGAUGACUGCCUACUGGUCAAUGCCUUGACUGCAUCCUCAUGAGAGACCCUCAGCCAGAAUCACCCAGCUAAGCUGCUCCCAAACUCCUGACCCCCAGGAAAAUAUAUGAGAGAAUAAACAUUUGUUGCUUUAUGCCACUAAGUUUUGAAGUAAUUUGUUACAUAGUAACAGAUAAUUAAUACACUUAGGGUCACAUCAAUUGGAUGAAAAUGGCAAAAUAAAAAAUACUUUAUAUUCAUGAGACUUAGGGGAUGGCCUCAGAGUGCUGGGUCUAGAUGGAAUUGUGGAUUUUGCUAGAUGCAGAAGAGAUGGAAAGGAGGGACAACAUUCCAUAGCAUGCACAAAGUCAUCAGGAAUGAUGAUGAUUUGGUAAAUUCCCUUUCAAAAAGUAAAAGCUGCCAGACCCUUUAAUCCCUGUAGGAAGAGGUCCCCUUUCCUGUCAUUAGAGAUAUUUUUCAGAAACAAGUUCAGGAAAUACCAGGGUAGAUGUCGAGCACAGCGUUUCCAUUUUACCCAUGUUCCUUGAUGUUUCUGCUAAACUGAGCAAUGUUUGGAUCUGAGAGAGAGGGAUGCCUGCUGCAGGGAAAGGAAUAUUUUAAAGGGUUACAAAAAUAAGUAAAAACUGGUGAUGAGAGGGAAAGUACCAGACCACUAUGACUAUAAUAUUGAAACUUCACACUUUUGUUUGGCGUUUUGAAUAAAUAAAGCAUUGUAAAAGUGGGGAAAAUAAUUGAUUACAGUUAUAAAGUGGCC